rnacentral:rRNA from 1 species
CGGCGGACGGGUGAGUAACGCGUGGGUAACCUACCCUGUACACACGGAUAACAUACCGAAAGGUAUGCUAAUACGGGAUAAUAUAUUUGAGAGGCAUCUCUUGAAUAUCAAAGGUGAGCCAGUACAGGAUGGACCCGCGUCUGAUUAGCUAGUUGGUAAGGUAACGGCUUACCAAGGCGACGAUCAGUAGCCGACCUGAGGGGGUGAUCGGCCACAUUGGAACUGAGACACGGUCCAA